AACAAUUGCCCAUUCCUUCUUCUGCUCUCACAAGUCACAAUCACCAACAAACCCUAAACCUCCAUAGCUGUGUCACCUCAGUCGUACCUCUGCGAAGAUUCGUCCAAAUUUCAUCUCCCCCGACCCGCGAUUUCCCUGUUGGCAGUAAAAUCAGACCUAAAAUGGUGAUACAAUGUUAAAAUCCACAUUAAAGGCCCGAGAAUCGUCCAAAUUCGAGGAGGGAUUUGUCUCUUUUAAUUUUUGAAAUUUCAAUUUCCUCCCCUUUGAUUUGCCCGUUGGCUUCUCUGAUUUUUGAUUUAAAAUUUGGACUUUCUAGUCUGGAUUUCCUAUAAAUAGUCUCAUUUUUUCACUCUAGAGAGGAGGUUGGUUUUUUGGUAAGGAAAAAAUAGAAAAAAAUAGUCUAACGUUUGAAAACCUCGCAAGCAAAUGAUGGUGAAAAUCACUUUGUUUAAUCCUCAAUUUCGGUCGGAAUUUUGAGUCCCCGAGUUUGAAUCUGGUAGCCAGAGAAUUCUCGACAGAAAGCCUCAGUUUUGCUGCACAGCACUAGGUGCGAAUCUCCCCCCUUAUUUUCUUUGUUCAUCAUUUCUUUAUCUCGUUUGGUUUAAAAUGUGUGAUUCUAUUCUAUUUUUAAGUCUGGUUGUUAUUGGUUUUCCAUUGCCUUUGUGGAUAAAAGAAAAUUAUGACUUUUGUGGAUUUAGCCCGUGUGUAAAUAUAACACCAGGUCUGUAAAUAGGUGAAACAUGAUAUUUUGGCUUCAAAUUAGGGUGUGAUGGUGUGUUGUUCGUUAUUUACAAAUUGGGUUCAAUUUUGUUUCCUCCUGAUUCGAAUUUGGGACUGUUGGAAGCGAAAGUAUGUAAAUCUCCUUAUUUACUGUGUUUCCCUGUUUGGAUGUGUAUAUGUGAAUAUGUGUAUGUGGUCGUUCAUCUUGUUUUGGGCAUUGCAUAUUUGUUUAUCAGUGAAUCAAAUCAUGUGUUGUCUUAAAGUACGUGGCUGUUUUGAGUAUAUGAGAGCGAUUCCAUCGCCUCUCGACUCUAUUGUUAUCUUUUCCAUCUGAACUUUGUACUCCUGUUGUUCAUAUUUCCUGGCUGUUUAUUUUCGAAAAUAAGAUGCAUAGUAGUUCUUAUCUAAUUUUGUGGCAUGAUUUUUUAUGGUCUGUCUAUCAUGUUCUCAGCACAUAAUUUUCUUUUCUAUAAAGAAAAUAUAUGUAGAAAUAUAAACAAGGAAAACAAUGAAGGGAGGCUACAAGUUUGUUAGUAAACUUUUUUUUAAAAAUCGACUAAAAUUAUGCCACUUGAGAUUUCUUUCCUGUCUUGUUAAUACAAGAUAAACAUGCUUCUCACAGUUUCUCCCGCCUCUUCUUUAUGUUUUGAUCCAAGCCUUGGAGGGGAUAUAUUUGAAUAAUAUUUAAGUAAUCACUGUUUUGAUAUCUUGAUUGUGAGCUUUCUGCUUUGUUCUUAUUCGAAUUUUUUCUUUGCGUCAGUAUCGGCUGGAAAAAGAGUUCCUACUCCGUUUUGACUUUUUUGUUAUUUUGUAUUAGCGAUAUGUCUUUGUCCUGAUUAUCUAUCAUUCUAUAUAUGUGGCAGUAUAGAGAAUAAAAUAUGUAGUAGUUUUGCAACUCUAGUUUUCUAUUGAUCCUGAAAUCAGAACCUUGGUUGCUUUGGGUUUAGAUGCUCCUUUAGAUUUGGGACGAAUAGAGUUUCGCAAGAAACUUGUUUGUUUGACCAUAAUAUUGUUCGAUCUCAAAUCAGCAGUUUGUCUCCAUCUUUUAUCUGUUUAAUAUUCAUGUGAGAAUAUGUGAGAAUAUGAGUAUUCUUUAAGGUAAAUAGUGGCUGGCUUUAAGAUGUCACAGCUUUGGCCGCUAGUAAUUUGAUUCAUAUUUUUAGUAUCUCUAUGUUAUCUCGUCUACCCCCGUCUAAAGUACGAACCCGUACGUGUGGCUGUUUAAUACAUUUUCUUUAAAGAUUUAAAAAAAAAAUUAAGAUUGCAUCCAGCUUUGUGUAAAAGCCACGUUGGAAGCUUGAUUAAGGUGAUCUCGGAAUGAAACCAUUAGCUUCAGCCCUUUUUUUAUGUUAAAGAACAUACUGUGUGUGUUUCCUGGACAAGUGAAGUCAUAUGAAAGUGUCCUUAAAUUCUAUAAUUCAACUUAUGAUCAAUCUGGAAGUAUAUAAAGCUUGUAAUUCUCUUACUUUAAUAAGUAAACUACCUUCUUAUAGUUUGUUUUACCCUCAAUUUUAUAACAGCUCGAGCUUGCAAUAAGUAGCUGGACGUAAAUGACUGUUUUUUUUGUGAAAAGGUCUUAGACAACUAAUUUGAUUUGAAGGGCCUAGCGACUUUGUGACUGUGGCCUUAAAUUUAUAUUGUGUCUCAAAGUGCUAGAUUACUUUUAGGACCUAGAUUACUUUUAGGACCGUAACGUUAUUCGCACUAGUCUUUUCUUUACACUUUAAAAACAUGCUAAAACUUGAAGUUUCUUGCUAAUCUUUAUCUUUCCUUUCUCUAUUUUUACAUGUACACUCGAGAGCGCAUUUGGAGUUAUGGUUUGACUCCAUCUUAGUCCAAUUCAGAGGGGCGACUAAUAGUUAUUUGUUUGUGUUCACGUCCAGCCCAGCCUGCUCACAUCAAAAGGGUCCAACAUCCCUCUUUCUUCUCUUAGAGUCUACUACUAUUAGUAUUGCCUCGACUAACAUUAUAUCAAUCAAAACUAAUAUUUUCCCAUAUGUUUUUGCUUAUGUGUUUUUAUAUAUUAUAUAUGUCACUUCAGCACAGGUGAUAGUAACACAGAUAUUCGCUUCUCUCCAUUCCCUUUUCGAUACCAAAAAUACUAUAGCCUCUCCGCUUUCACAUUUGAAGCUACUAGAAUAUUGAACGCUACUCGAUUUGGAUCGUUUAUAUCUCAGGCUCAAAUGUUUUUCAUAGAAAUUAGGUUAAACUACAUUUUGGCAAACAGGAUAUAGCUAACCACACUUUUCAGGUUUAUAAGCCAAAAUAAAGUACAAAAUAUGACUAUUUUAAAGGGAUUGAAUAGAGACAAAUUAUAGGCCUAUAGCAUGGAAUCAACUGGAACAUGUUGAUUUUCUUUUAAAUGUGGUAUGUAUUUACGUAUUAUUUUUCCAAAAAUCAUAUAAGUAGUAUGUUUACAAGUUUGAAGAUAUAUUAAUGUUAUUAUCACCCACAGUUAUUGUUUUCACUUGCUACAUUUACAAAUUAUUUCAUAGACCCAUAAUGCACAUUAUGAUACGCACAUCGAUACAUUAUUUCGUAUGCACUUGCUGCAGGCAUAUUUUUAUAUUUUCUAUAUACAUUAUGUAAUACACAUGUUAUUUUAACUAGAUUUUAAAUAUAGGCCAAAGUCAUCGAUAGGCAUUCAAACUUGUUUCGAAAAUUCACUUAGAUUCCUCAACUAUGGCCUGUACCUAUUAGGUUCCUAAACCCCCCCGAAUUUGAUUCAAUUGGGCCUUUUUUACCUACAUGGUAUUGCGUGUGUUUUUCACUCACUACGGGCACGUGAAGCACGAUUUUUUGACUAAAUAACAAAUAAAAACAUGCCAAGUGGUACUGAGAGCCCAAAAAUAAUAAUAAAACAAGUUUUUUUUAAAAUAAUCUUUUUUCUCUUCCUCUUUCUUUUUCAUUUUCUUUAUAAAUAAUGUUUUCUCUCUCCUCUUCAUAAUUUUUUACUUACGACUCUUUCUUUGCCAUUUCUUAUUUCUUUCUCUUUCAUUUCUUACUUUUUCUUUCUCAUUUUCCUUUUAAAUAAUUUUUUCUUUUUCUCCUCUUCAUAGAUUACUAUUAUCUCCCUAUCACUCCACACCAAAUAUUUACGAUCUAACUUCUCGUGAUAAGUUUCAUCGAAAUUGAAAAUUUUUAUUUUGGGUAUUGAACUUACGAUGAAAUAAGUGUGAUAAAUUAGAUAAGAUUUGUUGAAAAAAUAUUUUUGAAAUUGAAAAUUUGAUGAAAUUAGUCCAAAAAUAUCAAAAUUUGGGAAUUUUCUGACGAAAUUGGUGUGGAAAUUUGGGGAAUUGAAGUCUUGAGCUGUUUCUGUUGAAAUGUUGGAAAUUUGGAGGUGAAAUUUAGUGAAAAGAUUCAAACUUUAGGAAAAUAUAAAGUGAAUUUUUGAUAAGUUUUAGUGUAUUUUUUUAUUGAAUUGGCAUUAUGAGACUCGUGUUGUGAGGAGAAGUUUUUGGCAAUUUUGAGCUGAUUUUGUUGAAGUGUGUCAAGAUUUGGAGGUGAAUUUAAUGCCUGUUUUCUUAGAUUGAUAUUACCAGAUUCGUGUAGUCAGACGUUUCUGAUGUUUUUGAGCUGGUUUAGUUGAGGUUUAGGUGAAUUUGGUGCAUUUUUUGUUAUAUUGGCAUUACCAGAUUAGUGUGUGGAAGGAGGGAAGGGGGUUGAAGAAGGCGACGAUUGGGGUGGGUGGUUUUUUUUUUUAAAUUAAGAAAUUAUUAUUAGAUAAAUAAUUAAAUAGAAAAAUGGACAAAUUAGCAAUUUCAUCAUAUAAUUAUUAUUGUUGCCACGUGUUUUUUUUAAUUGGUUAAUUUUUUCACGUCAUCACGUGUGUUUUACACACACUUGAGAUUUUAGCUGAUUGACAAAAAAAGGCCCAAUAGGAAUAAAAUUCGGGGGGUUUAGGGGCCUAAUAGGUAUAGGCCAUAGUUGAGGGGUCUAAGUGAAUUUUCAAAAGAAGUUUGAGUGUCCGUCGAUGACUUUGGUCUCAAAUAUAUAUACUAUUUCACGUACAUCGCGCCAUCUCACAUUCAAUAUAUAUUAUUGGCCAGACCCAUCGAUAGCCCCUCAAACUUGUCCCUAAAACUCACUUAGGCCCCUAAACUAAGGCUUGUACCUAUCAAACCCCUAAACUCUCCAAUUUUGUUCCUAUUGGGCAUUUUUUGCCCACAUGGCACUGCGCGUGCUGUGCAACCGCCUGAGGUGCGUGAAAACUAAAAAAAAUUAUCCAUGUGGCAAAAGUUAACGUUAAAUAACGCUAGUUUUGCCAUUCCCUUCAAUUUUCCUCUUUUUAACCUAAAUUUACUCUUCCUCUUUCUUCAUUCUCUCCUCCUUAGAUGAGUUCUCAUCAACUUCUCUCAUCUCACUAUCAAAGUUAUCUCCUAAUUUCUCUUAAAUAAUUUUUUUCUCUCAUUUUCGAUGAAAAUGUUGGAAAAUUCCGUCAAUAUUGAUGUUUUCGAUUUGUGUUACUGUUCCGAAUUUUGUCCUUUAAGAACUUCAAGGACUCCUUCAAAUAUGGGUCGUAGAUUUUUUGGAUGUAAAGCUCCAAAGGAAAAUGGUGGUUGUGGGUACUUUAGAUGGAUUGAUCCAAAACCUUCAAUAUCUGUGCAUCAAUAUCCUGAGGUAGAAUCGAGCUUAAUGAUUAGGUGCAAAGAUGGUGAAAAAUCGUGUGAUUGAUUGAAGCAAAAGCUCAAAGACGUUGAACAAGAGAGGGAUACUUUGUGUGAGAAAUUGAAAGAUAGUGAAGGGAAGUUGAUUGCAUUGAGGCAAAAACUCAAAAAAGUUAAACUUGAAAAGGAAUGUGCUAAGCUCAAAUUGUAUAGACGUGUUCUACUUCUUCUCAUUAUUCUAACUGUAAAGUGGUUCUUUAAUAUGGUGUAAGGUGUAGUAGUUAAGUUUGCCUAUUGAAUAGGCAAUUGGAUAUUGUAAUGGUUAGUUUGUAAUAGUUGUUUCGUUAGUUUGUAGUAGUAGUUGUUUGUUCAGUUUGUAGUUGGCCUAGUUUGUAGUAGUUGUUUGGUUUGUUUGUAGUAGUUGUUUGAAUGAAUUGACAUAUUUUUGUAUGACAGUCUCAUUGUCAAUUGGC